GGGCCUAGUGGUUAGAGCGUCCACCUCGGAUUCGGGAGGUCGUGGGUUCAAUCCCCGGGCGAGUCA